AUAGUUUCACUAGGUAUAGACUCUGCAUUUGAUAGUUUUAUUUUUUCAUCUUCUUUCAGCACUUGAAAUACCUUGUGCUGCUUUGGGGUCUGUAUUUCAGAUGAGCAAUCUACUGUCAUUCAAACUGGAGUCCUCUUGAACUUGCGGCACCUCCUGUUCAGUUUAAUCCAGCUGAGACCACCGACCUUUCAACUGGGCCGGAAGAAAUGCCCGAGAGUUGACCUUUCAAUAUCGGACGGCCAGAAACUUCAUCCUCAGAUCAUGCUAAGGCCACCAUUUUCUGAACACGUGUUUUGUUAAGAGGUAAAUUCCCCGAUUAGGCUUGCACAGACCACUGAUUGCUUUUUCCUACUGCCAAACACCUUUCUCCACACCUUGGACCACUCCGCUUCUCUAACCCGUGCAUAUUCUUAAGCCCUGUCUUCAGGGAGGUUGGUUUGAGAGCUGUUCUUCCUCCUCCUUGCUUGUGACUAACCCUUUUCUCUUUUGCAAAACCAACCAUCACAGUGAUUGCUUUCUUCAUAUGGGCACAACGAACCUGGUUAGUAUCAGCUUUUAUUAAUUAAAAAAUUAAUACAAGUUAAAGUUCAAAAUAUUGAACCAAUAUAUGCAAGUAUAAAAUGAAAGUGAUACCUUCUCUACUCCACCUAGUCCUACUUCCCAAAGGUAACCACCAUUAGAAAUUUAAGAGUCAGUUUCCUCUUAGAAAAUCAAUGUGUGUGCCCAAAUAUAUGCAUCUAUGUAUAUAUUCUUUCACAUUACCCCCGCCCUGCAAAAGAUCAUACUCCAUCUUCCAGGAUUUUGCUUUUCCUCCUAAAAUUAAGGUCUUAGAUAUAUUUCCAUAUAAAUACAUA